rnacentral:rRNA from 1 species
GAUGAACGCUGGCGGCGUGCCUAAUACAUGCAAGUCGAGCGAACGGACGAGAAGCUUGCUUUUCUGAUGUUAGCGGCGGGCGGGUGAGUAACACGUGGAUAACCUACCUAUAAGACUGGGAUAACUUCGGGAAACCGGAGCUAAUACCGGAUAAUAUUUUGAACCGCAUGGUUCAAAAGUGAAAGACGGUCUUGCUGUCACUUAUAGAUGGAUCCGCGCUGCAUUAGCUAGUUGGUAAGGUAACGGCUUACCAAGGCAACGAUGCAUAGCCGACCUGAGAGGGUGAUCGGCCACACUGGAACUGAGACACGGUCCAGACUCCUACGGGAGGCAGCAGUAGGGAAUCUUCCGCAAUGGGCGAAAGCCUGACGGAGCAACGCCGCGUGAGUGAUGAAGGUCUUCGGAUCGUAAAACUCUGUUAUUAGGGAAGAACAUAUGUGUAAGUAACUGUGCACAUCUUGACGGUACCUAAUCAGAAAGCCACGGCUAACUACGUG